rnacentral:rRNA from 1 species
GAUAAACGCUAGCGGCAGGCUUAACACAUGCAAGUCGAGGGGCAGCAUAGAUUGUAGCAAUACAAUUGGUGGCGACCGGCGCACGGGUGCGUAACGCGUAUGCAACCUACCCGUCACAGGGGGAUAAUCCGGAGAAAUCUGGUCUAAUACCCCAUAACAUAUGGAUCGGCAUCGGUUCAUGUUGAAAUUUUCGGAGGUGACGGAUGGGCAUGCGUAGCAUUAGCUUGUUGGUGAGGUAACGGCUCACCUAGGCGACGAUGCUUAGGGGGACUGAGAGGUUGUCCCCCCACACGGGUACUGAGACACGGACCAGACUCCUACGGGAGGCAGCAGUGAGGAAUAUUGGUCAAUGGGCGCAAGCCUGAACCAGCCAUGCCGCGUGCAGGAUGACGGCUCUAUGAGUUGUAAACUGCUUUUGUACGAGGGUAAAGUGGGUUACGUGUAACCUUUUGAAAGUAUCGUACGAAUAAGGAUCGGCUAACUCCGUGCCAGCCGCCGCCGUAA